rnacentral:rRNA from 1 species
AUAUUGCACAAUGGGCGAAAGCCUGAUGCAGCGACGCCGCGUGAGUGAAGAAGUAUUUCGGUAUGUAAAGCUCUAUCAGCAGGGAAGAAGGGCCCAUUAGGGAGAUGACGGUACCUGACUAAGAAGCCCCGGCUAACUACGUGCCAGCAGCCGCGGUA